rnacentral:rRNA from 1 species
CCAGACUCCUACGGGAGGCAGCAGUGGGGAAUAUUGGACAAUGGGGGGAACCCUGAUCCAGCGACGCCGCGUGAGUGAAGAAGUAUUUCGGUAUGUAAAGCUCUAUCAGCAGGGAAGAAAGAAAUGACGGUACCUGACUAAGAAGCCCCGGCUAACUACGUGCCAGCAGCCGCGGUAAUACGUAGGGGGCAAGCGUUAUCCGGAUUUACUGGGUGUAAAGGGAGCGUAGACGGCGAUGCAAGCCAGGAGUGAAAGCCCGGGGCCCAACUGCGGGACUGCUUUGGAAACUGCCCGGCUAGAGUGCUGGAGAGGUAAGCGGAAUUCCUAGUGUAGCGGUGAAAUGCGUAGAUAUUAGGAGGAACACCAGCGGCGAAGGCGGCUUACUGGACAGUAACUGACGUUGAGGCUCGAAAGCGUGGGGAGCAAACAGGAUUAGAUACCCUUGUA